UGGAGACAUAAGUUGUAAAACGGGCAAGGACGCCCUUAUGGAUCGAGUUGGGAACAAGCGUCUCCAGAUAUGGGAAGCCAGCUCGAAAUAGUAAGAACACUGGUCACCGAGAUUAUCGACCGACAGAUAGUAAAUUAAUCUCUCUGUCAGUGUGUUUUACCGCAUCGAAACACACACCCUAUUCUGUGUCUCGGAUGGUUGAAAAGUUUAAUUCCAUGUCAAAUUGUUGAAAAGUUUGACUCGAACACUCUCUCAGAAUGUUGUAAUAAGAAAUUGAAAAGCAACCAUGUUCG
rnacentral:lncRNA from 1 species